rnacentral:rRNA from 1 species
UACGAAGGGGACUAGCGUUGUUCGGAAUCACUGGGCGUAAAGCGCGCGUAGGCGGACCUGCAAGUCGGGGGUGAAAGCCCGAGGCUCAACCUCGGAACUGCCUUCGAUACUGCGGGUCUCGAGUCCGGGAGAGGUGAGUGGAAUUCCUAGUGUAGAGGUGAAAUUCGUAGAUAUUAGGAAGAACACCAGUGGCGAAGGCGGCUCACUGGCCCGGUACUGACGCUGAGGCGCGAAAGCGUGGGGAGCAAACAGG